rnacentral:lncRNA from 1 species
CGGGAGCCAGAAAAACCAGAGAGCUCCAAACUAAGCUUCUGCACGGACAGAGCACGGGAGAAAAUGGAGCUACAUUUGGAGGUGCUGCCGAGUUCAACCACUACAGAAGAUAACACUUUGAGGCGAUCCAGCAGCGCCCCUUUGAUCAGUGGCCUUGGUUCAUCAAGAUCCAGGACCCUAAAGCAGCAACUAUUUGGUGUGGAGCACGACUUUCUCUAACUUCACCCCAUCUCUUACCCACACCAUUGAAGAAAUUGUGUACUCCCCACCCUUGCCUCCAGAUCUGUAAUGACUGUAAUUUUUGUCAUUCUCUAGUCUGCUUUGUCACCUCUGACCUUCACCUUAGCACACUCAGAGUGGGAAUGGUUGUCAAGUAAAUAAGCUUGGGCCUUUUUUACACCUAGUUUUUAUUUGAACAAAAAGUUUAGCUAUCACAGAAAAUUGAUCUCCUAAUUUUGUAUUCUCAGUGACCUACAUUGGCCCUACUUAGUUCUUGGCAGGUGAAAGUUGUUUUCUCAUAUGCAUAAAACAGAUAUAUGUGUAUAUGGCCCAUAGACAGAUAUGCAGUAUAUUUGUGCUAUUAAAAUUGUGUGGGAAUUCUCCAAGAGGAGCUAAUAAGGAGGGAGGAAAUAUCUAAAAAGACUCUAGAGAUCUGAUGAUGAAAAAAGGUUUAAAAGAUUAACUGAUGGUUAACUGUAUUUCCUGCAUAUAUCCAAAGAUCUGGCCUGACUCAACCUUAUUUCUUAAAAUAGAAUUUUAAAGUGAGAUCUUGGAUUUCACAUCCCAGUAUCGUAAGUUUUUCUCAAUGUUGUAAAAAUGUCUGAAAAAUGCAUUCACUGCAUACAUUUUAUUAAGUUUGCACCUCACCUUUUGCUGGCAUCAUCCUACUUGAUAGCUGUAAUUCACAACUGUUAGAUGAGAACUCAGGAGACCAGAUCUACCCUCUUUGUUUAAUGUAUGGGCUAACAGGCCUGUCGAUCUCCAAGAUGUCAUAGGCAGUAAUCUAUCAGUACUAGGAAGCUGUGGCUCCAGACUCCUAAGCUAGUGCUUUGUCCACUGGCUCAGAGGGUAAAUCAUCUGCCUGCAGUGUGGGAGACCCGGGUUCGAUCCCUGGGCUGGAAAGAUCCCCUGGAGGAGGAAAUGGCAACCCACUCCAGUAUUCUUGCCUGGAGAAUCCCAUGGACAGAGCAGCCUGGUAGGCUACAGUCCACAGGGUCGCAAAGAGUCGGACACAACUGAGCGACUUCACUUCACUUAACUUCAAUCAAUAUCUAAGCUGAUUAAUUAAAUAAAUGCAGCUUUCUGGUCUUUUGAGUUAAGGGA